CAGCCGCCGCGGUAAUACGUAGGGUGCGAGCGUUAAUCGGAAUUACUGGGCGUAAAGCGUGCGCAGGCGGCCAUGCAAGACAGAUGUGAAAUCCCCGGGCUCAACCUGGGAACUGCAUUUGUGACUGCAUGGCUAGAGUACGGUAGAGGGGGAUGGAAUUCCGCGUGUAGCAGUGAAAUGCGUAGAUAUGUGGAAGAAUACCGAUGGCGAAGGCAGCCCCCUGGGAUAACACUGACGCUCAUGCACGAAAGCGUGGGGAGCAAACAGGAUUAGAUACCCCCGUAGUCCCUGUCUCUUAUAC
rnacentral:rRNA from 1 species